GAAUCUGAUCUAGCCGUGGUUUCAACGGAUCUGACUUCAACGCCAAAAUUGAUCUCCCAAAAGGAGGACGGAAUCCAGAAGAACUACCAACAACGCCCUAAAAUUCAACAUAGUAAGAAAGCAGGAAUACGUGAUACGAAUCAUACGUCAAUCAGUUUGAAGAAGUGCAAAAUAGUUUGAGCAUUAAAUUGCUAAAGACUUGAGCGAACUGUAAAUCACAUCCACCACAAAGAUCAUAAAUGCAUAGCAAACGCACGAAGACCCCUACUCAGCAGCAUCAGAUUCCAGAACAAUAUAUAUAUAUACAUGUAUAGGUAUAUAUAUAACACUCACGGAUUCGAGAUCGGCGUGGUCGGAGGCAGCGGGGAACAGAAAUGAUACAGUGAG